rnacentral:lncRNA from 1 species
AUGAGGACCUUACCUGUACUAUGUGUUGCCUUUUCCUUGAUCUUGGCUUCUUUGCAAGCUGAUGCUAAAAGGUACAAUUUGCAUCAACGUCACCUGGCUCAGCAGAAAAAUGAUCCAAAUCUGCAUGCUAGUGACACAAAGGAUCAAUCUCAGCCUCCAACCUCAAACAACAACGAGGCCAAGCAUGACGAAGACGAUGAUGCGAACGAGAGUUAUGGUAAAUUCGGACAUGAUUCUUCUGAAAGUGAUUCUCACCGUUAUUUUGUCGAUGAUCAAUUUCACCCCCAUUAAUUAGAACUGAUCCAAGCCUUGAGCUUGUAAAAGGAAGCUUCAAGCCUUCAGCAAUCAAGGUUGUGUAAUAGGUAAAAUAUAUGUUCGCCUUGUAAUUUAAUAAUAAAGUGGAACUCAUUAACAUGUCGCCAUAUUAUAUCCAAAAGAUAUCUAAGGCACAUGUGUUUGAUUUCACCAUAUAGUAUUCUUAGACAGACGGC